GUGUUAUAUGAAAGGAGAGGUUAGCACUCCCCUUAAUAAGGAUGGAAAAGGUCCUAAUGGCCUUUGCAACACAUAUACAGUUAAGGCAUUGCCACCUACUCUGUGGCAUCUGACCAUGUUUU
rnacentral:ncRNA from 1 species